rnacentral:rRNA from 1 species
AACGAACGCUGGCGGCAUGCCUAACACAUGCAAGUCGAACGAUGUCUCUCGGGGCAUAGUGGCGCACGGGUGCGUAACGCGUGGGAAUCUGCCCUUGGGUCUGGGAUAACAGUUGGAAACGACUGCUAAUACCGGAUGAUAUCGCGAGAUCAAAGAUUUAUCGCCCGAGGAUGAGCCCGCGUAGGAUUAGCUAGUUGGUGGGGUAAAGGCCUACCAAGGCGACGAUCCUUAGCUGGUCUGAGAGGAUGAUCAGCCACACUGGGACUGAGACACGGCCCAGACUCCUACGGGAGGCAGCAGUGGGGAAUAUUGGACAAUGGGCGCAAGCCUGAUCCAGCAAUGCCGCGUGAGUGAUGAAGGCCUUAGGGUUGUAAAGCUCUUUUACCCGGGAUGAUAAUGACAGUACCGGGAGAAUAAGCCCCGGCUAACUCCGUGCCAGCCGCCGCUGUAA